rnacentral:rRNA from 1 species
UACGUAGGGUGCAAGCGUUAAUCGGAAUUACUGGGCGUAAAGCGUGCGCAGGCGGUUUUGUAAGUCUGACGUGAAAGCCCCGGGCUCAACCUGGGAAUUGCGAUGGAGACUGCAAGGCUAGAAUCUGGCAGAGGGGGGUAGAAUUCCACGUGUAGCAGUGAAAUGCGUAGAGAUGUGGAGGAACACCGAUGGCGAAGGCAGCCCCCUGGGUCAAGAUUGACGCUCAUGCACGAAAGCGUGGGGAGCAAACAGG